rnacentral:rRNA from 1 species
AGCUCCAAUCUCUUAUCUUCCCGUUGUUGCGUUUCCCACUCUCUUCGUUGGCUCUCUGCCUCCCUUUUUCUUUUCUCUCCCCAUCUUGACUGCCCCAUUUGGCUGUGUGAUUGGCGGAGGUUCCGGGGUGCUCUUCGUUGAGUGUCCCGGUGCGCCGUCAGGUUUACUUUGAAAAAAUUAGAGUGCUCAAAGCAGGCUUUUCAGGCUUGAAUAUUCGUGCAUGGAAUAAUGGAAUAGGAACUCGUUCCUAUUUUGUUGGUUUUCGGGAAUCGAGUUAAUGAUUAAUAGGGACAAGUGGGGGCAUUAGUAUUCAAACGACAGAGGUGAAAUUCCUGGACCGUUUGAAGACUAACUACUGCGAAAGCAUUUGCCAAGAGUGUUUUCA